UAAGAAGUCUGCCUUGAUCAUUGAUUACUUACCAUGCAAACAACUCCUACAAUAUGAUUAACUUUUCAAAAGUCCCCGUGGAAGCCAUUGCUUUCCUUGCUGCCGUUGCUGCCUUCGCCGUUCUCCUCAUUGUGGUGUUCUUGUUCCUGAACAAAGCGCUCUGCUUCAUGAACUGUGACGGCAUCGGCUUCUUGAGCCAGUGAAGCAGUCCGACAGAAAGAAAAAGCUAGAAAACUCAAAGACUGACACUAGUAGUUCAGAUUCUGAUACACAUCCUUGAGGGGAUUUAAACAGCCAUCCAGAUUGCCAUGCCUCCAAAGGAAGUGGAAUUACAGCAGCUUGCCAACUGUCAGAUGUCUGCCAAAACACUCCUCUGAAUCAACCAUUAUUGUUUCCACUCCGGAAUCCGUCUUCUCCACACAAUUGAAUCCCCAUUUCCUUUGGCUCUGCUAAGGAGACAUCCUAUUUAUCUGACUGACUUUCUGCUUGGAUUGCUAUCUGUUGGGGACCACACAGUACCACAGCUUCACAUUUAUGGAACAGAAAUCUUAAAUGAGCUGGAUGUUACACAGAAAUAAAGUGCAAACCUAAUGUUAAGAUAAAACUUCAGAAGAAGAGGAUAUAUUUGUCUAGUGAGUGGUUUAGGCCUUUGGGACACAAUAAAAGCUCAUCUGCAUGUGGACAAUAUCUACUUCUGUAAACUUCAACCCUGGUUUCAAUGUUAGCUGUAUGUCAAAGUGUGAUACACAUCAUGAUGAAAUGGGAGCUUGGAAGAUAUGAAUGUCCAGUAUCCAUGGUGAUGUGGAGCUGCAACAGAAAUCUCUAUUCUCAUACAUGUAGUUAUGAACUUUGGAUUGACAUUGAUCCCAAGGAAAUUUUAUUUCAGCAAAAAUGUCGAGGGCAAAGUUUGCCUGAGGCACAAAGACUAACCUUUAUAAGGGACAAAAUAUUGUCCAGGUGAUUAAACUCCUGGUGUGUCUUGUAUGGAAGGACUCUUGAAAAUGUUAAAUGUGUUAUUUAUGUUU